rnacentral:rRNA from 1 species
GUUGUAUGGUUAAGUGACUAAGCGUACACGGUGGAUGCCUGGGCAGUCAGAGGCGAUGAAGGACGUACUAACUUGCGAUAAGCGCAGAUAAGGCAGUAAGAGCCGUUUGAGUCUGCGAUUUCCGAAUGGGGAAACCCAACUGCAUAAGCAGUUACUGUUAACUGAAUACAUAGGUUAACAGAGCAAACCGGGGGAACUGAAACAUCUAAGUACCCCGAGGAGAAGAAAUCAACCGAGAUUCCGGUAGUAGCGGCGAGCGAACCUGGAUUAGCCCUUAAGCACUCGGUGAAGUAGGUGAACAAGCUGGAAAGCUUGGCGAUACAGGGUGAUAGCCCCGUAACCGACGCUUCAUCGAGCGUGAAAUCGAGUAGGGCGGGACACGUGAUAUCCUGUCUGAAUAUGGGGGGACCAUCCUCCAAGGCUAAAUACUCCUGACUGACCGAUAGUGAACCAGUACCGUGAGGGAAAGGCGAAAAGAACCCCUGUGAGGGGAGUGAAAUAGAACCUGAAACCGUGUACGUACAAGCAGUAGGAGCACCUUCGUGGUGUGACUGCGUACCUUUUGUAUAAUGGGUCAGCGACUUAUAUUCAGUGGCAAGGUUAACCGUAUAGGGGAGCCGUAGCGAAAGCGAGUCUUAACUGGGCGCUUAGUCUCUGGAUAUAGACCCGAAACCGGGUGAUCUAGCCAUGGGCAGGUUGAGGUUGAGUAACAUCAACUGGAGGACCGAACCGACUAAUGUUGAAAAAUUAGCGGAUGACUUGUGGCUAGGGGUGAAAGGCCAAUCAAACUCGGAGAUAGCUGGUUCUCCCCGAAAGCUAUUUAGGUAGCGCCUCGGACGAAUACUACUGGGGGUAGAGCACUGUUAAGGCUAGGGGGUCAUCCCGACUUACCAACCCUUUGCAAACUCCGAAUACCAGUAAGUACUAUCCGGGAGACACACGGCGGGUGCUAACGUCCGUCGUGGAGAGGGAAACAACCCAGACCGCCAGCUAAGGUCCCAAAGUAUUGCUAAGUGGGAAACGAUGUGGGAAGGCUCAGACAGCUAGGAUGUUGGCUUAGAAGCAGCCAUCAUUUAAAGAAAGCGUAAUAGCUCACUAGUCGAGUCGGCCUGCGCGGAAGAUGUAACGGGGCUAAGCAAUACACCGAAGCUGCGGCAAUAUCUUUUAGAUAUUGGGUAGGGGAGCGUUCUGUAAGCCGUUGAAGGUGAAUCGUAAGGUUUGCUGGAGGUAUCAGAAGUGCGAAUGCUGACAUGAGUAACGACAAAGGGGGUGAAAAACCUCCUCGCCGGAAGACCAAGGGUUCCUGUCCAACGUUAAUCGGGGCAGGGUGAGUCGACCCCUAAGGUGAGGCCGAAAGGCGUAAUCGAUGGGAAACGGGUUAAUAUUCCCGUACUUCUGACUAUUGCGAUGGGGGGACGGAGAAGGCUAGGUGGGCCAGGCGACGGUUGUCCUGGUUCAAGUGCGUAGGCUUGAGAGUUAGGUAAAUCCGGCUCUCUUUAAGGCUGAGACACGACGUCGAGCUGCUACGGCAGUGAAGUCAUUGAUGCCAUGCUUCCAGGAAAAGCCUCUAAGCUUCAGAUAGUCAGGAAUCGUACCCCAAACCGACACAGGUGGUCGGGUAGAGAAUACCAAGGCGCUUGAGAGAACUCGGGUGAAGGAACUAGGCAAAAUGGUACCGUAACUUCGGGAGAAGGUACGCUCUUGAUGGUGAAGUCCCUCGCGGAUGGAGCUGACGAGAGUCGCAGAUACCAGGUGGCUGCAACUGUUUAUUAAAAACACAGCACUGUGCAAAAUCGCAAGAUGACGUAUACGGUGUGACGCCUGCCCGGUGCCGGAAGGUUAAUUGAUGGGGUUAGCGCAAGCGAAGCUCUUGAUCGAAGCCCCGGUAAACGGCGGCCGUAACUAUAACGGUCCUAAGGUAGCGAAAUUCCUUGUCGGGUAAGUUCCGACCUGCACGAAUGGCGUAAUGAUGGCCACGCUGUCUCCACCCGAGACUCAGUGAAAUUGAAAUCGCUGUGAAGAUGCAGUGUACCCGCGGCUAGACGGAAAGACCCCGUGAACCUUUACUACAGCUUGGCACUGAACAUUGAACCUACAUGUGUAGGAUAGGUGGGAGGCUAUGAAGACGUGACGCCAGUUGCGUUGGAGCCGUCCUUGAAAUACCACCCUUGUAUGUUUGAUGUUCUAACUUAGACCCAUUAUCUGGGUUGAGGACAGUGCCUGGUGGGUAGUUUGACUGGGGCGGUCUCCUCCCAAAGAGUAACGGAGGAGCACGAAGGUGGGCUAAUCACGGUUGGACAUCGUGAGGUUAGUGCAAUGGCAUAAGCCCGCUUAACUGCGAGAAUGACGGUUCGAGCAGGUGCGAAAGCAGGUCAUAGUGAUCCGGUGGUUCUGUAUGGAAGGGCCAUCGCUCAACGGAUAAAAGGUACUCCGGGGAUAACAGGCUGAUACCGCCCAAGAGUUCAUAUCGACGGCGGUGUUUGGCACCUCGAUGUCGGCUCAUCACAUCCUGGGGCUGAAGUCGGUCCCAAGGGUAUGGCUGUUCGCCAUUUAAAGUGGUACGCGAGCUGGGUUUAGAACGUCGUGAGACAGUUCGGUCCCUAUCUGCCGUGGGCGUUGGAAGAUUGAAGGGGGCUGCUCCUAGUACGAGAGGACCGGAGUGGACGAACCUCUGGUGUUCGGGUUGUGUCGCCAGACGCAUUGCCCGGUAGCUAAGUUCGGAAUUGAUAAGCGCUGAAAGCAUCUAAGCGCGAAGCGAGCCCUGAGAUGAGUCUUCCCUGACAGUUUAACUGUCCUAAAGGGUUGUUCGAGACUAGAACGUUGAUAGGCAGGGUGUGUAAGCGUUGUGAGGCGUUGAGCUAACCUGUACUAAUUGCCCGUGAGGCUUAACCAUACAACACCCAAGGGGUUUUGUA